rnacentral:rRNA from 1 species
UACGUAGGGUGCAAGCGUUGUCCGGAAUUAUUGGGCGUAAAGAGCUCGUAGGCGGUUUGUCGCGUCUGCUGUGAAAAUCCAGGGCUUAACCCUGGACCUGCAGUGGGUACGGGCAGACUGGAGUGCGGUAGGGGGAGAUCGGAAUUCCUGGUGUAGCGGUGAAAUGCGCAGAUAUCAGGAGGAACACCGGUGGCGAAGGCGGCAUCCUGGACCGGCAUUGACGCUGAGGAGCGAAAGCCAGGGGAGCAAACGGG